UCUGACACUCUUUUUUUCUAUUGUCAAAAACAAGCCAGUUAUCCAAUUGCCUCACCCUGUAUACGCAAACGUUAUCUCGGUAAGUUUACGUUUAUCCAGUCGAGGAAUUUGUAUCGAUUCGACAUUUAAACAACAAGAAUUCGAAUGCCAGGUCCAUUGUAGCCGUCGUUCGGAAAAAUAACGUCGCCUGACAAUUUCAACCGCUCCAUUAUCAUCGCGACGGCUAUUUUAGUAAAUGCGGAGAGAAUGGCGAGUAAACUGACGUACAAUGAUAGGAUAAACCAGGACAAUGUAAAAAUUCAAUGGCUGAUUCUUUAAAAUGGCGCAUAUUUGAGGAAUAUUUCAUAUCUCCCAAGCUCUUAACACUAUACUUUUCGGAGCCACCGUAGUUCUGAUAUAAAAUCAUUCUUUCGGCGAGCAUACAUCUUGAUCGACCGAAAGGGUUCGGAAGUGCCAGUAUUAUUUCAGAGUGGCAACAUGAACGUUUCGCCAUCGCUGUUCAUCGUACAUUAACCCAAGGCUGACGGAUGGCGUGGCACGGCAGCACGGGAAUUGAUUAAGCAUAAGUUCGUGACGACAGAAGGCUGGAAAUGCGUGUGCGCGCCUGGUGACAGAGAUCCGCGGCCGAAGUGUGUAUCGGCGAGGCAAAUCAGAUUAAUUAGCGAAUACAUUGACUAACGGAGCGAGGCACGAAGUCUCGCUUUGAUAAGGUCUCCGAGCCGGGAGAGGUCGAGAGUCGCUCCUUGAAUGACUGCGAUACGAGAACGGGAAAGGAUACAAUCGACGGACGGAACAAUUCACAAAUCUGAUGACGUUAAAGGGAGCUCGUGCCACCGGAACAGGACUCGAGGCUUUGAUCCUAAUCCGUACGGGGUUCGGCGCUGUCAACGAUCUAAUUGUGUUCCGCGGAUCGAGAUACGUCGUGUAAUCAAUGACUGGAAAUCCAUUUCGAACCUUCGAGCUAGGCCCAAAAAGCUGGCCAAGAUACAACGGAAUAUACAGACCCCAAUGUUCACUUUCCGAUUGUUCGCCUGUUUGAAAUCAUUAAAAUUUGAGGAUGACCGAUUGUUUAUUGCGAUAUUUCGCAUUUGUCGAAUUUUGAAGAAAGGAAUUUUUCGGCGUCCAAGCGAGUCCCGAUGUUCUUCAUUGCGUCGUUGGAAACCGUAAAGGGGUGAGGAUGCAUUUGCUGCUGGGAAAUGUAGGUCACGAUUCACGGUGUCGGUGCACUGACCUCGCACAAUGUUCAGUUGAUCCCAGGUCGAUGGCCAUACCGAGGAAGGGACACGGUCGAAGGGACCUUAGGUAGGAACGGUAUGGUAAACACGGAGUUUACAAAAGUCCCUUGGCGAUCAAGUAUGUGCCUAGGCCCUAAUAGCCGGCCUCGCACGAUGAAUUUCGCUGGGUGAUGUGCACGUUUUCGCCAACGGCAUCGGCCCGUGCCAGAUGUGCCGCCAGAUACCGAAUGAUUCGAGUAUUUGUGGAGCGCCGCGGAAAUGAAAGCAAAGGAAGCAGUUAUCGAGGCCCACUUUGAAUGCAGGAAUCAACGAGAGGAAUCCAAAGGACAUCCGCACACCUUUCUCGACUGUCGACGAUUAAUUAAGUGGCCAGUGUUUGAUGACCAGUGUUUGUGAAAAUGAACUCUGUGAACUCCUUCGAUCAAAAUGGAAUCAACGAGAGGAAUCCAACGUACUUUUCCUGAUUGCCGAGGAUUCAUUAAGUGGUCAAUCAAUGACGACGAUGUUGUGAAAGUGAACUCCGUUCUUACUAUCUGCUAUCUUUCCAUUUCAUUAAAAUAUUUUAUCGAAAUAAUAAACUUUUUUUGCUCUUUA